CGAGGACACGCUGAGAGACAAUCUGAUAUCAAGCAGUUCAAUGACAUGAAAAAGCAUUGCUUAUCACUAAUGACAUUUGAAUUUAAUCUUUCCAGACAAGAGAGAGCAUCUCCUGUGGAGGACUUUCAGAAGCGUUUUCCAGGCAGACGGGGACAGUGGUGAUCCUGUGUGACAAGUCUGCACCGAGGGACCAGGGCUGUGUCUUAUACUAUCAGCACAACAUCACUCUAAACUCCAGCGGGGUUUCAGUAACAGCAGGGGGUUAAUAUAAAAGAGCAUUCCCCUAGCAGGUAGGGCUCUCUUACCCAGCUGGGACUAUCCUGACCCUGCGAAGAGAGUCCGGUUGAGCCUGAGGGAUCCCAGACGGCCAAAUUCACUCACUUUUCCCACUGGGGUUUAAAUAACAAGACUACUCUGUCUCUUAGUCACACGCAAAUAGCACUUAGAGUUAUUGCGGCUAGUUGGCUAACUAGAGGGGCUUUUGUUGAUGGGCUAGCGGGGGCUUUCUCUUGAUUAGCCUGUUUGUUAACAGCAUUACGAGUUCUGUCAUUUUCAGGGAACGGAACCCCCACCCCAUAGAAAAGGCUCACCGAGUAAAAGAGGCGUUUGGAAACCCGUACGAUUAGAAGACAGAAGAGAAUUCAUGUUUUCCAGACCAUUUCACCUGACUGAACAAGAGCUCAUAGUGUGUUUGUGAGGAACAAUUUUGGAUGCAAACAGUUGGAUGUAUAUCAAAUGAGAUUUGUUAUGUUUCUCCCAGAUUGCUUUUAAGGGGCAAACAAAGACAUUAUGGCUGGCUGGCACCCUCGGACCAACACUGGAAUGUUCUCCCUGAGAUGUGUUGCAGUGCGCAUAUAUGAACACUAGGGGGCGUUGUGUCUCUGUGCAGCGGUAAUAAUCACUGCUAGCUUUAGUGGCUGCUGUUAAACAGAUGGCUUUCCUCUUAGUUCUCCAUGGAGAUCCACACUAAAACUGUAUUC